rnacentral:rRNA from 1 species
CGAAAGCCUGACGGAGCAAGACCGCGUGAGGGAGGAAGGCUCUUGGGUCGUAAACCUCUUUUGUCAGGGAAGAACAAAAUGACGGUACCUGACGAAUCAGCCUCGGCUAACUCCGUGCCAGCAGCCGCGGUAAUACGGAGGAGGCAAGCGUUAUCCGGAAUUAUUGGGCGUAAAGCGUCCGUAGGUGGCUCUCUCAAGUCUGCGGUCAAAGACCGGGGCUCAACCCUGGAAAGGCCGUGGAAACUGGUGAGCUAGAGUGCGGUAGGGGCAGAGGGAAUUCCCAGUGUAGCGGUGAAAUGCGUAGAGAUUGGGAAGAACACCGGUGGCGAAAGCGCUCUGCUGGGCCGCAACUGACACUAAUGGACGAAAGCUAGGGGAGCG